rnacentral:rRNA from 1 species
AACGAACGCUGGCGGCAUGCCUAACACAUGCCAGUCGAACGAGACCUUCGGGUCUAGUGGCGCACGGGUGCGUAACGCGUGGGAACCUGCCCUUAGGUUCGGAAUAACUCCCCGAAAGGGGUGCUAAUACCGGAUAAUGUCUUCGGACCAAAGAUUUAUCGCCCUUGGAUGAGCCCGCGUUGGAUUAGCUAGUUGGUAGGGUAAAAGCCUACCAAGGCGACGAUCCAUAGCUGGUCUGAGAGGAUGAGCAGCCACACUGGGACUGAGACACGGCCCAGACUCCUACGGGAGGCAGCAGUGGGGAAUAUUGGACAAUGGGCGAAAGCCUGAUCCAGCAAUGCCGCGUGAGUGAUGAAGGCCUUAGGGUUGUAAAGCUCGUUUACCCGGGAUGAUAAUGACAGUACCGGGAGAAUAAGCUCCGGCUAACUCCGUG